rfam:Myotis lucifugus cont2.6614, whole genome shotgun sequence.
GACGGUUCUUAAGUGACACACCCCGGAAUCAGGCUCCCUCCUCUCUGGUUCCCGGUGCGUUGCCCUAGAACCGCA